rnacentral:pre_miRNA from 1 species
UUUCUACUCCCUCCGUCCGAAAAUACUUGCCAUCAAAAUGGAUAAAAAGAGAUGUAUCUAAAACUAAAAUACGUCUAGAUACAUUUCCUUUUAUCCAUUUUGAUGACAAGUAUUUCCGGACGGAGGGAGUAUUUA